CGCUCUGGGAUGAGGCUGCGGCCCAUCAGCUAGUUGGUGAGGUAAGAGCUCACCAAGGCAACGACGGGUAGGGGGCCUGAGAGGGUGACCCCCCACACUGGGACUGAGACACGGCCCAGACUCCUACGGGAGGCAGCAGUGAGGAAUAUUGCUCAAUGGACGGAAGUCUGAAGCAGCGACGCCGCGUGGGUGAAGAAGGUCUUCGGAUCGUAAAGCCCUUUUCCAGGUGACGAGGAAGGACGGUAACCUGGGAAUAAGUGUCGGCUAACUACGUGCCAGCAGCCGCGGUAAAACGUAGGACGCAAGCGUUAUCCGGAAUUACUGGGC
rnacentral:rRNA from 1 species